rnacentral:lncRNA from 1 species
UCCUAGGGGGCGCUGCGUAGCGUGGGCGGAGGCGCGCGCGCGAGGCCUCGGGACUCUUUUGCCCUCUCAGGGCGGAAGGAACGCGGUCUGCCUGCGGGAGGGUCGUCGCCUCCCCGGGGCCUGUCGCCUCCCCGAGGCCUCAGCGUCCCGGGAGCGGCCCCCGCCCCUUUAAUCUUUUCCGAGGGGGGCGUCGCGGGAGCGCGGCCCUUUUGAGAUGCCGCAGAGGGUCGGCCGCCGGAUUUCAGGGCUUCCCCGCCGGAUUUCAGGGCUUCCCCGCCGGCGUCGAGGGGAGUGGGCGUUGUCCGUGGUGA